GCCAGGCGCCAUCACCGCCUAUCGCUGCUCCUGGUGCUCAUGCUGCUGUCAGGAGCCCGGGCUCUGUGUCCUGUGGAGCUCUUUCCUUAUGGGGAGUUGUGGGGAGAUCGGCUGCCACGGGAGGGCGACGUUGAAAGCUCCCCGGCUGUGAAGCCAGCAAUACCUCUAUGCUUCUAUGGUGUCCAGUUCAGCAACCUCUAUGUGGGCACCAAUGGCAUCAUCUCCACCCAGGACUUACCCAGGGAGACUUAACAUGUCAUUGAUGAUUUUCCUACUGACUUCCCAUCCAUCGCCCCAUUCCUGGCUGACAUCCAGUGGAGUCACAGCAGUGGCCGGAUCCUGUAUGGGGGACACCUCCUGGACUGUGCUGAGUCUGGCUGCUUGCUACCUGUGCACAGGCUUCCCGCUGACCGGGUCCAGCUUCCCCACUACCAACUUCUUCCUGGCCACCUGGGAGCAAGUGGACGCCUAGGAGGAGGACAGGCUUGGGGCUGCAUGGUCUGGAGAGGUGAACACGUUCCCGGCCGUUCUGGCAUCCGAAGAAUGUGAUUCCUAUGCCCUCUUUCUCUAUCCUCCCAAUGGUCUUCAGUUUUUGGAACUCACCCCAAAGAAUCCUACAGUGUCCAGCC
ensembl:lncRNA